rnacentral:misc_RNA from 1 species
GCUCAUCAUCAGUUGGCUUCAAUUUCUCCCCUUUGACUUUAGCCUUUUCCUUCCCUUUUGUAGUCCUUUUACCUGUUUUCUCCUCGGAAGGAGAUUUUUUAGGAGUUGAAGACUUCUCCUUUACUACUUUUUCAUUUUUCUUCUUCCUUGAGAAAACCUUUGGACUUGCAUCACCAUCAUCAUCCGCCUCAGUGCGUUUAGAUGAAGAUUUUUUAGGCAACCCUUUUGGAGGAGGACUGCAUUUAAUGGAAAUAGUGAGUUUCUUGGUUUUAGCUUUUCCAGUGGAUUCCUUCUUUCUAGAUGAUGUUCUUGAGCUUCUUUUGUGUUUACCAACAUCUUCUUCAGAUUCCUCUUCAGACUCAUUUUCCUCAUUUUCAGAAUGCCCAGGUAUCUCAGCAUCAGAUUUCUCCACAAGACCAUUUUCAUUUUCUUCUUCUACAUCUUCUUCCUCUUCUUUUUCUUCUUUUGACUCAUCUUCAGUAUCAGGUGUAUCUUUUUUAUCAGUUUUUGAAGCAUCCUUGGCCUUUUUUCGACUCUUUGCUGAACUUGUUGAAGACACACUCCCAGAGGCUGAGC